rnacentral:rRNA from 1 species
ACAGAGGGUGCGAGCGUUAAUCGGAAUUACUGGGCGUAAAGCGCACGUAGGUGGCGACGUAAGUCGGGUGUGAAAGCCCCGGGCUCAACCUGGGAAUUGCAUUCGAGACUGCAUUGCUGGAGUACGGAAGAGGAGGGCGGAAUUCCCGGUGUAGCGGUGAAAUGCGUAGAUAUCGGAAGGAACAUCAGUGGCGAAAGCGACUUCCUGGACCAAUACUGACGCUCAUGUGCGAAAGCGUGGGGAGCAAACAGGA